AUCACUAAUCCACGUCAAAAGUACGUUUAGCAGUUUGAUGGAGCGGACGAAAACUCUGUCACCCGCCUCCGCACUUAUCCCGCAACAAUCACAAUCGAUUCCAGAAAAAGACCUACAAUUGCAACCCCAAUAUCCUCCCGGGAGCUCUCCCCGUCGACCGCACAACGCCCUCAUCGGCACGCUCUUCGCCGGAGCGGCCCAGAGCGGCGUGCGCUGGAAGCUGGAUCCGGGAAGGAGUGCGGCCACAAGCGGGAGACAAGGGGAGGCGCGGUUGUGCUCUCUCUGGUCGCCGGCGCGGCCACCAGAGGGGAGACGGCCAGGGGAAGCGGCGGCCUACGACUCUGUAGGGGAUGCAGCGUCUGGCGGGAGGGGGCGCGCAGUAGGGAAGGCAGCGGUCGGAUCCAGGCGCGGGUGAGGCCUGAAUGCCACACGGGGCCCAUGGCGGCCAGAUCCGGGCCACGCAUGGGAGUCGGUGGUGUCCCGCCGAUGCGUAAAGGAAGCACGGGGCGGCGCGUCAGUGUGUCGUCGUGCACAGCACCGUGCGGGGUGAGCGAUGGGAUGCAAACGACAUUGUAGGCGCCGAUGCCGCACAUGCUUGAUUUGCUGCUGCCGCCGCCUCCGCUUGAGGUCUACGGACGCUGUCGACGAGUUAUGAGGCGGAACCAUCGAGCACCGAGCUGGAAACGACACCAUCGAGGAUGACAGACCGCCACCGAGGCUGAUUGUUGUGGACGCGCCUGCCCACUACAAGUCUCCUAUCGCUGUUGUGUUCCGAGCAGCCAGAGAACUACAGGUGCACGACUCCUGCAACCUGGUAUUUGAGAUGCAUUUCCCAAUCGUCCUGAUUAUGGACUUCUGCUCACGUUUGGAGCGAUCUGAAUUAAAACAAGAAUUCUGUGGAGUCUGCUUGAAUCAAUUGUUCAUCUCUACAUUAACGAAUAGUGAGAUUACCAGAGCAUCCUGGGCCUCCGACUUCUUGAUAUGAUCACUGGAUUGUUCUUUAAUAUUUAACAACCAAGACUGUUCUUUCCUGCAAAAAAUAUAUUUUCUGUCAUGAACUACUAAUGUCACUAUGAUGUCUCAAAGAGCUUUCUUAUAAGUUUGUGGUUAUGCACAUAUACAUGAUCUGGUAAAGGGGGAGACAAUGCAAGUGGCAGAGAUAGAAAGGUAGAGGUGGAAGAAGAGGGUGUGGUAGAGGAAGAGAAAGUCAUGCCAAACAGAAGUGGCAGGGGUUGAGGAAGGUCAGGUACAAGCUGAAGAUUAGGAGGAAGAUUUACAACCCAGUGUUGAAGGAUGUGUCACAUUUUGUUUGGCCGUAGCUACAAUCCAAAAGGGAGAAAUGCAGAAGAAUUUGUUCAGACUUGAAACAUGUGUGAUCGAGGAGAGAGCAACACCCAGCAGUCUGCACUACACACUUGACAUAUGUACAAAGGAUUUAUGUGGGCACAUGACAUACCCGUACAUAUUGUGAAAGUUUACAAGAGAAGCAUGUUGUUCUAAAUGAAUAGUCGCAAAUACGGACCUGGCCAUGGAAAGAUGAACACUAAUUGGCCACAAAUGAGCUACAUUGUUCAGGUUAUGAGUAGUUCUACCUUUAUUAGGCUUGCACAUCUGUUUUGUCCGUCAGUUAGUUCUCUGACUGGUUUUCAUGGUGCACAAACUUGUAUCUUACAACUUAGAUGAAUUAUGUCAUUUAACCGGCUUAUGUGGAUUCCACUUAUUUCUAUGCACACUUGCAUAUCAAAUUUAUUUUAUUUCCGGUGCCUAUUGUAAUGUCCGUUUCAUAGGAACCAAAUAGAAGGAAAUAGGAUUGGUAUUUUUCUGAUUGGAAAUAGUAUACCUUAUAUUUAGUUAUUUUGGAUACAAUUAUGAAAAAUCUUAGAUAGAUCGUGCUAUGAAAUUGUUUCUGUGAUACAGUAUGAACAGUGAUGUGUGGCAGACAAACAUCUAUGGUACAGUGGUUGCCGGCGCUAGCUAAGGGGUGUGGCCAUGGUGCAUCAAUUUCUAUAAAAGAAGAACUGCGAAAUUCAUUGAUCACAAGAAGGUGUUACACGAGUUCUCACGGGAGGAAAGCAUUGCAAAGGGCAGCGCAAAAAAAAGAGAAAGAAAAAGAACCCGUCGACAGAACCACAAACCCAAGCUCUACCAUCAAUCGUGAACACCAUCAGAGCCCUGUUGGGGAUCGUUGCAGAAAUUUAAAAUUUUCUACGCAUCACCAAGAUCAAUCUAUAGAGAGACUAGCAACGAGAGAGAGGGGAGUGCAUCUUCAUACCCUUAAAGAUCGCGAUGCGGAAGCGUUACAAGAACGCGUGUUCGACGAGUUUUUGUGCACUGUUACAUAAGAAAAUAUUUAUUUAAUUGAGUUUUGAUGCAGGCUAGACGUGCGAAGGCAAGGUGUUAAUAAAGGCAAAAAUGCUAUUGCAUGGUA